rnacentral:rRNA from 1 species
GACGUAGGGGCGCGAGCGUUGUCCGGGAUUUAUUUGGGGCGUAAAAGAGCUCGUAGGCGGGCUUGUCGCGUCGGCUGUGAAAACCCGCGGGCUCAACUGUGGGGCGGGGCAGCUGAUACGGGGCAGGGCUGGGAGUUUCGGGUAGGGGGAGACUGGGAAAUUCCUGGUGUAGCGGGUGAAAUGCGCAGAUAUCAGGGAGGGAAACCACCCGGGUGGGCGAAGGGCGGGGUCUCUAGUACGGGUA